rnacentral:rRNA from 1 species
UUAAGCGACUAAGCGUACACGGUGGAUGCCCUGGCAGUCAGAGGCGAUGAAGGGCGUGCUAAUCUGCGAUAAGCGCCGGUAAGGUGAUAUGAACCGUUAUAACCGGCGAUACCCGAAUGGGGAAACCCAGUGUGAUUCGUCACACUAUCAUUAACUGAAUCCAUAGGUUAAUGAGGCGAACCGGGGGAACUGAAACAUCUAAGUACCCCGAGGAAAAGAAAUCAACCGAGAUUCCCCCAGUAGCGGCGAGCGAACGGGGAGGAGCCCAGAGCCUGAAUCAGCAUGUGUGUUAGUGGAAGCGUCUGGAAAGGCGCGCGAUACAGGGUGACAGCCCCGUACACAAAAGCGCAUGUGCUGUGAGCUCGAUGAGUAGGGCGGGACACGUGGUAUCCUGUCUGAAUAUGGGGGGACCAUCCUCCAAGGCUAAAUACUCCUGACUGACCGAUAGUGAACCAGUACCGUGAGGGAAAGGCGAAAAGAACCCCGGCGAGGGGAGUGAAAAAGAACCUGAAACCGUGUACGUACAAGCAGUGGGAGCCCCACCACUAAGCCAGUGGUGAACUCCACAUACGCAUCCUUUGCUGAGGAUACGGUUAACGGAGCGAAAGCGACGUUCAACCGCAAAAGAAGCAGAGGGGGCUUAGUGGUGGGGUGACUGCGUACCUUUUGUAUAAUGGGUCAGCGACUUAUAUUCUGUAGCAAGGUUAACCGUAUAGGGGAGCCGUAGGGAAACCGAGUCUUAACCGGGCGUUAAGUUGCAGGGUAUAGACCCGAAACCCGGUGAUCUAGCCAUGGGCAGGUUGAAGGUUGGGUAACACUAACUGGAGGACCGAACCGACUAAUGUUGAAAAAUUAGCGGAUGACCUGUGGCUGGGGGUGAAAGGCCAAUCAAACCGGGAGAUAGCUGGUUCUCCCCGAAAGCUAUUUAGGUAGCGCCUCGUGAAUUCAUCUCCGGGGGUAGAGCACUGUUUCGGCUAGGGGGCCAUCCCGGCUUACCAACCCGAUGCAAACUGCGAAUACCGGAGAAUGUUAUCACGGGAGACACACGGCGGGUGCUAACGUCCGUCGUGAAGAGGGAAACAACCCAGACCGCCAGCUAAGGUCCCAAAGUCAUGGUUAAGUGGGAAACGAUGUGGGAAGGCCCAGACAGCCAGGAUGUUGGCUUAGAAGCAGCCAUCAUUUAAAGAAAGCGUAAUAGCUCACUGGUCGAGUCGGCCUGCGCGGAAGAUGUAACGGGGCUAAACCAUGCACCGAAGCUGCGGCAGCGACGCUUAUGCGUUGUUGGGUAGGGGAGCGUUCUGUAAGCCUGUGAAGGUGGCCUGUGAGGGUUGCUGGAGGUAUCAGAAGUGCGAAUGCUGACAUAAGUAACGAUAAAGCGGGUGAAAAGCCCGCUCGCCGGAAGACCAAGGGUUCCUGUCCAACGUUAAUCGGGGCAGGGUGAGUCGACCCCUAAGGCGAGGCCGAAAGGCGUAGUCGAUGGGAAACGGGUUAAUAUUCCCGUACUUGGUGUUACUGCGAAGGGGGGACGGAGAAGGCUAUGUUGGCCGGGCGACGGUUGUCCCGGUUUAAGCGUGUAGGUGUGUGUUCCAGGUAAAUCCGGUUCACUUUAACACUGAGGCGUGAUGACGAGGCACUACGGUGCUGAAGCAACAAAUGCCCUGCUUCCAGGAAAAGCCUCUAAGCAUCAGGUAACAUCAAAUCGUACCCCAAACCGACACAGGUGGUCAGGUAGAGAAUACCAAGGCGCUUGAGAGAACUCGGGUGAAGGAACUAGGCAAAAUGGUGCCGUAACUUCGGGAGAAGGCACGCUGACACGUAGGUGAAGUGAUUUACUCAUGGAGCUGAAGUCAGUCGAAGAUACCAGCUGGCUGCAACUGUUUAUUAAAAACACAGCACUGUGCAAACACGAAAGUGGACGUAUACGGUGUGACGCCUGCCCGGUGCCGGAAGGUUAAUUGAUGGGGUCAGCGCAAGCGAAGCUCCUGAUCGAAGCCCCGGUAAACGGCGGCCGUAACUAUAACGGUCCUAAGGUAGCGAAAUUCCUUGUCGGGUAAGUUCCGACCUGCACGAAUGGCGUAAUGAUGGCCAGGCUGUCUCCACCCGAGACUCAGUGAAAUUGAACUCGCUGUGAAGAUGCAGUGUACCCGCGGCAAGACGGAAAGACCCCGUGAACCUUUACUAUAGCUUGACACUGAACAUUGAGCCUUGAUGUGUAGGAUAGGUGGGAGGCUUUGAAGUGUGGACGCCAGUCUGCAUGGAGCCGGCCUUGAAAUACCACCCUUUAAUGUUUGAUGUUCUAACGUGGACCCGUGAUCCGGGUUGCGGACAGUGUCUGGUGGGUAGUUUGACUGGGGCGGUCUCCUCCUAAAGAGUAACGGAGGAGCACGAAGGUUGGCUAAUCCUGGUCGGACAUCAGGAGGUUAGUGCAAUGGCAUAAGCCAGCUUGACUGCGAGCGUGACGGCGCGAGCAGGUGCGAAAGCAGGUCAUAGUGAUCCGGUGGUUCUGAAUGGAAGGGCCAUCGCUCAACGGAUAAAAGGUACUCCGGGGAUAACAGGCUGAUACCGCCCAAGAGUUCAUAUCGACGGCGGUGUUUGGCACCUCGAUGUCGGCUCAUCACAUCCUGGGGCUGAAGUAGGUCCCAAGGGUAUGGCUGUUCGCCAUUUAAAGUGGUACGCGAGCUGGGUUUAGAACGUCGUGAGACAGUUCGGUCCCUAUCUGCCGUGGGCGCUGGAGAACUGAGGGGGGCUGCUCCUAGUACGAGAGGACCGGAGUGGACGCAUCACUGGUGUUCGGGUUGUCAUGCCAAUGGCACUGCCCGGUAGCUAAAUGCGGAAGAGAUAAGUGCUGAAAGCAUCUAAGCACGAAACUUGCCCCGAGAUGAGUUCUCCCUGAGACUUAGAGUCUCCUGAAGGAACGUUGAAGACGACGACGUUGAUAGGCCGGGUGUGUAAGCGCAGCGAUGCGUUGAGCUAACCGGUACUAAUGAACCGUGAGGCUUAACCUU